CUCUAUUUUUUCCAAUUUAAAAUAAAUUCAAAUUCCCUAAAACGCACUAGAGUCUGAGAGUCGCCGCCUGAGUCCUGAUCAACAGCAUUCCAUUCCCCAUGAAUUAGCCGUUGCUGGUGCCGGUGAUGAUGAUCUAGGGUUGUUCUUCAUACACUUCUAUUCCUUUCUUCUCAUGUUUAUGUGAUGAUUAACAAACUUUUUUCUUCUUCUAAGAAUCGGUUAUUUAGGCUUCUUUACCCAGAUGUUGUAUGGAAACGAGAAAGGUUGUUGGGUACCGCCGCAGCCCGUGACGUUCCAAUCAAUAAUGCUACAAGUAGGAAGAGGAUCUCUUAUUUGGAAAGGAAAGCCAUGGCCGAAGCAUAUAUCGAUGAGUAUAGGGUGAUGAAUGCUGGAAAAUUUCCAACAAUCAAAAAUGUACAGAAAAAAAUUGGUGGCAGUUACUAUCGAAUCAAGGCUAUUCUUCAGGAGUGUGAAUACAAUGCCAAUGUAUCUUCUCUCUCCACUGCAGCGACAAAAUCAAGUAUUGGGAUAACAGCUAAAAUGAAUGGGAUUCCUAACCGUGGAGUUAGUCCUGUCUGUCAAGCGUUGGACGGUAGGAUUUCUGUUGAAGACUUUGGCAUUUCUGCGGAAUUUGAUUCAAGCAGUGAAGUGCUGUUGUGUAAUAACACUUAUCAGAAGAUAGUUGUUACAUCACAUCUGAACAAGGACCAUGAGAUAUCCUCUGGAUGUCUUUCUGAGUGUGAGAGAGAUGAUGAUUUGGCACGCCGUGAAAAAUGUGACAGGACAUCUAUUGAAAGAGGUAUGAGUGGGAAAUGUAACAUUCUGGAAACCAAAGAAGUAUCAAGUUUGGUGGAGAACACCUUGAAAAACGACUCUUUAACGGCCUUGACAGUGGAUAAUUCUGAAGUACCAGCAAAGCCAGGUCACCAUUCUGAAGUUACUAGCAUUUCAAGACCCUUGGAGCCUGAAGAAAUAAAUGAGGUUGCUGAUCAAACUUUUCAUUCUGUUGAAUUCAUGAGGUGCAGGUCGAUGCAUGUUCGAGAAGCCUCAACUGCGAAUGGCAUGGAUAAGCAAGGUUGUGGCUCUUACUAUAGUGAUAGUGCUAUUAUUCAGGAGUUAGAUAACUCAAACGCGGGAGCUGAAGUGAAUAAAAUUUCAGAAGUUGAAAUGACCUUGAACUGUCAAGUUAAAGUAGGUGCGAAUGCUACUGUGGAUGAAUAUCGAGUGUUAGAUAAUGUUUCCAACCACCAAAAGGAGGUGGAUGGGUAUACUUGUCAAAAGAUGAUAGAUGCACCAAUCUUAAUCAUUGACAAAGAUCUUUGCAGAAGUGAGGGAGUAGUUAACUUAGAAUCGAAGAGGGGGCAUAACGAAACAUCUAGCAAUCUGGUUGAUAUUAGUGAACUUAAUAGAUCUCCAGAGAGUAGAGAACUAUCAGAAAAAACAAGUUUGGUGAAAGAAACUUCAGCAUCUACGAAUUUAGAAGCCUUAGCAACUGAGGGUUGUGAAUUUUCUGCAACCUCAAAUCAUCCUUUUGAAGUUCCUUGUACAUUGGAAAACUCAAAUAUUAAUGAAACAGAUGUCGCUUCCGCUCAAGACUCAAAUUUGGGUGAAAUCUCAAGUCAAGUUGGAUACUCGGAUGCCUACCAGUGUCGAACAUGAGUUCCCAAAUCCAUGCAACAGAGGUUAGGCUAUGAGAGUGGCAGCACUUGGUGGGGGAGAUGAGAAACACUUGAGAAGGUUGUGCGGCAUGGGCCAUAGUAUUUACGAUGGUAAGAAGAGGGAUUGUAACUCUGAUUUUCCAUGGAUGGAGCAAAAGCAGGUAAAGGACAAGUGUUCGGGAACAGAAAGAGGAGAGCAUAGCGGGAGAGAGCGAGGAAGCAUGAGUUGUGGUAGAACCGUGGAAGUGAAUGGGCGUUUUAUUAUUGCCUUAGGUUUUGGAAACUACGGCACAGAAAACCCAAGAUCAGAAGCUGCAAGAAUCAUCAUUAUGGGGCAACCUGAAGAGUUUAGCAAACAAUAUGAUCAACUUUUGGCGGAAAACUUGAAUUACGUUUUUGAUAGAGACCAACAAGAUUGUAUAGAUAUUAUCAAAUGUUCGCACUUGUAUUUAUAGUUAUUGUUUUAAGUAGUUAGACGGAGCAUAUCCUUGAUGGGAUUAGAUCACCGAGGUGCUUUUACCUCUUCUAGGAUUGAGUUGGAAACAGGUUUGCCAUCAGUUUUGGUUUUGCAUUUAUUAAUUAAAUUGGAGAUACCGAUUAAGAUUGGUUAAGCAGAUGAACCGUACCUUUUGUUUGAUCCAGGAGAAAUAUACGUUGUGCCCAUGUACAAAACUUGAACAUCAUUACGAUUAAAAGCUCACAUAUUUAAGUCUUACGGUAAAAAUUCAACAGAA